rnacentral:misc_RNA from 1 species
GGAAUAAACAGAUGCACAUAUGUGAUUAUUCGUAUAGCAGCAUUGACAUCUUCUACUAAUUUCAUCAACAUUAAGCAAGUACAUUUCCAGGAGAAGAAGAACAAGAACAAGAAGAGUGUUACUUAAGUUCUGCCAAAAUGAAUGAUUUAUUCUCAAAUUCGUUCAAGAAAUACACUGACCUUAAGCAGCAAGCAUAUCUUGAUGAUAUAGAGGCUGGGAGGGAAAAUACGAGUCUUGAUAAAUUCUUCGAUGAUGUUGAGAAUGUAAAGGAAGACAUGAAAAGUGUUGAGAAACUGCACAAGAGUUUACAAGAUGCUAAUGAAGAGAGCAAGACUGUGCAUAAUGCCAAGACCAUGAAAAAUCUCCGUUCUAGAAUGGACUCGGAUGUGGAGCAAGUCCUGAAACGUGUCAAAAUCAUCAAGGGAAAGCUUGAAGCUUUAGAACGUUCCAAU